rnacentral:lncRNA from 1 species
AGAGAGGGUCUACGACCGGCGCCCACGUGUCAAAGGGUAACGAAUGUGUGGGCACAGAGGCGCAGUCCGGCCGACCGCUCUGUGGGACUGUACUCGGGUGUUCGCGCAGCUGCCGAUGAGUUGGGGGGGCUGCGAAGCCCGUCCCGCCGCCGCCCCCUCGAGAACUUGAGCAAUAAUAAUAAGCACAUCAGAACCGUUUGUUUACUGCGGCGCGGCGCGGGCUGCGAGGCCGGGACCGCUGCGGGAAACGGCGUAACCCGAAGGAAACCCUCUAGCACGGGGGGAUAUGGCAGAGGAAGGGCGGCUCCGGCUCGCGAGGAGGGAGCUCGGCGAGCGCGUGGCUGGGACGUGUGCCCGUGCGCAAGGACCGCGCUCAGCCCCGCUGCGGCGACGCGGAUUUGCGCCGCUUUCGCCUCGUUCUUUGCCGUCCCGACGGAGCCCGGCGGCCCCGUCUCCUCGAGCAGAACCCGCCGGGUCGGCGCCGAAAGGCCGCUUAGUGCUGCGCUCCGGGUCCCGCCGAGCGGUGCGCGG